GCUCCAUCAAUUACAAAAUAAGAUCAGAUCUCAUUCCCCCUGAAUUGGAGGCUGUUUGCUUGGAAAUUACUAAACCACAAAGUAAACCAUUUAUUGUCACUACAAUUUAUCGACCACCAAAUGCAAAUGCAGAAUUUUUUGACCAUUUGGAAAAACUUAUUAAACAAAUCGAUGAUGAAAAUAAAGAAAUGUACAUCUUAGGUGACUUAAAUUGCAACUUGUUAGAAGAGAAAGCUCUUUUCAAUAUGCCAACAAACAAACUAAACUCAUUAUAUGAAUUAUACCAAUC